rnacentral:lncRNA from 1 species
UUGAUUUAUGUUUGAAAUAAUUUUAAAUUUUUUUAUAAAACUUGAUGUUUUUUAUUUUUAAUAGGGAAUAUAUUGAUGACACUUUCAGAUUUGGAAGGAUUGUGAUUGGCACGUUUUCAGGUGCGAUUUCAGUUCUCUACAGAAAGUCAAUUUGGUUGAGAUCCUGUCAUACAGAGGUGUCCGGACUCUGUAAUGGUCAAAGGUUUCCAGUAGAAGAAGAUGAGACAAGAAUUAAAUGCAUGUGGGAGACUCUGGACCUAGGCACUUCGUGCUUUUGA